CCUACGGGAGGCUGCAGUGGGGAAUAUUGCACAAUGGGCGCAAGCCUGAUGCAGCCAUGCCGCGUGUGUGAAGAAGGCCUUCGGGUUGUAAAGCACUUUCAGCGGGGAGGAAGGCGGUGAGGUUAAUAACCUCAUCGAUUGACGUUACCCGCAGAAGAAGCACCGGCUAACUCCGUGCCAGCAGCCGCGGUAAUACGGAGGGUGCAAGCGUUAAUCGGAAUUACUGGGCGUAAAGCGCACGCAGGCGGUCUGUCAAGUCGGAUGUGAAAUCCCCGGGCUCAACCUGGGGACUGCAUUCGAAACUGGCAGGCUAGAGUCUUGUAGAGGGGGGUAGAAUUCCAGGUGUAGCGGUGAAAUGCGUGGAGAUCUGGAGGAAUACCGGUGGCGAAGGCGGCCCCCUGGACAAAGACUGACGCUCAGGUGCGAAAGCGUGGGGAGCAAACAGGAUUAGAUACCCGGGUAGUC
rnacentral:rRNA from 1 species